rnacentral:tRNA from 1 species
GGGCUCGUAGCUCAGUUGGUCCAGAGCGCCUCGUUUACACCGAGGAGGCCAGAGGUUCAAAUCCUCUCGAGCCCA